UCUCCGUAGGUGAACCUGCGGAGGGAUCAUUACCAGAGAUGGCGGGCCUCCGUGCCCCCGUCCCCAACCCAUUGUUGACCAAAACCUUUUUGCCUCGGGGGCAGAGCGUCCGCCGCCGCCCCCGGAGGACCACCGAACGCUGUCUCUAUACGUCGGAGUAUUGAUUAGAUGAAUGAAAACUUUCAACAACGGAUCUCUUGGUUCUG
rnacentral:misc_RNA from 1 species